UGGGAAAAGUUCACAUGCAGCGUCUCCCAUCAGUCCCUGAAAGUACCCAUCACAAAGAGCUUCACCCUAAUUGUGGAAGAGCCAACAAACUGGAUGUUGUACCUCGCUGUGGGCUCUGUUAUGAUCCUGCUGUUGUAUGUGAAGCGGAGCUACCUGCACUCAGCAUGGAGAAAGUUAGCAGGUAAGGUGAUAUAAAA